UACGGAGGAUCCAAGCGUUAUCCGGAUUUAUUGGGUUUAAAGGGUCCGCAGGCGGGGUAUUAAGUCAGUGGUGAAAGGCUGUCGCUUAACGAUAGCAUUGCCAUUGAUACUGGUACUCUUGAGUGUAGUUGAGGUGGGCGGAAUAAGUCAUGUAGCGGUGAAAUGCAUAGAUAUGACUUAGAACACCGAUUGCGAAGGCAGCUCACUAAACUACUACUGACGCUGAGGGACGAAAGCGUGGGGAGCGAACAGG
rnacentral:misc_RNA from 1 species